rnacentral:rRNA from 1 species
UUUUUGGAGAGUUUGAUCUUGGCUCAGGACGAACGCUGGCGGCGUGCCUAAUACAUGCAAGUCGAGCGCGGGAAGCAAGCAAACAUCCUUCGGGAUGUGCGCUUGUGGAACGAGCGGCGGACGGGUGAGUAACACGUGGGCAACCUACCUAUAAGACUGGGAUAACUCGCGGAAACGUGAGCUAAUACCUGAUAAUACUUUUUAUCGCAUGAUGGAAAGU